rnacentral:tRNA from 1 species
GCGCCCGUAGCUCAGCUGGAUAGAGCACCAGACUACGAAUCUGGGGGUCGGGAGUUCGAAUCACUCCGGGCGCGCCA